rnacentral:lncRNA from 1 species
AUUUAUCAUUAACCAAUCCAACACCAAUAAUCCAAAAAUGUUCCGCUACACAUACUGCAACUAACACCUAAUAAUAGUUAACUGAUUUAAAACCUAGGGGGAAAAAAGCCUCCUCCAACUCAAAUUGAAGUGGGCGAGGCUAGUCAGGUUUGGUCAUCAAGUUGAGGAGGCGAUGAUCCAAAAUCAAGGUUUGGGAAGACACCAGGCGGCCUUGGCCGAGGUUGGAUCGUUAGCAACUGGCUUGAGUCGCC